rnacentral:rRNA from 1 species
AAAGCGAAUAGUGAAACCUGGUGGCUCAACCUCACAGGCUAUUAUUCGAACUCACUGACUCGAGAACAGCAGAGGUAACUGGAAUUUCUGAAGUAGGGGUAAUAUCCGUAGAUAUCAGAAGGAACACCAAUGGCGUAGGCAGGUUACUGGGCUGUUUCUGACACUGAGGCACGAAAGCGUGGGGAGCGAACCGGAUUAGAUACCCCGGUAGUCCACGCCGUAAACGAUGGAUGCUA